rnacentral:rRNA from 1 species
GAUGAACGCUGGCGGCGUGCCUAAUACAUGCAAGUCGAGCGAACAGAUGAGGAGCUUGCUCCUCUGACGUUAGCGGCGGACGGGUGAGUAACACGUGGAUAACCUACCUAUAAGACUGGGAUAAAUACGGGAAACCGGAGCUAAUACCGGAUAAUAUAUUGAACCGCAUGGUUCAAUAGUGAAAUACGGUUUUGCUGUCACUUAUAGAUGGAUCCGCGCCGCAUUAGCUAGUUGGUAAGGUAACGGCUUACCAAGGCAACGAUGCGUAGCCGACCUGAGAGGGUGAUCGGCCACACUGGAACUGAGACACGGUCCAGACUCCUACGGGAGGCAGCAGUAGGGAAUCUUCCGCAAUGGGCGAAAGCCUGACGGAGCAACGCCGCGUGAGUGAUGAAGGUCUUCGGAUCGUAAAACUCUGUUAUUAGGGAAGAACAAAUGUGUAAGUAACUAUGCACGUCUUGACGGUACCUAAUCAGAAAGCGACGGCUAACUACGUG